rnacentral:ncRNA from 1 species
CGCCGCCGGUCCCCCCUAGCGGGGGGUUAAAAGGGAAUCCGCAGUGCUUUUUCAGCACCCAACGGAACUGCCCCCGCAACUGUAGAUGACGAGCCUGCUCCAAGAUUGCCACUGGGAUACCCCCCGGGAAGGCUGGAGCAAGCGAUGACCCAUCAGUCAGGAGACCUGCCGGCAAAG